AUGGCGAGGGUGAGGGCAGCGAGGGUGAUGGCAGCGGUGCUAAUGCAGCCCCCUUGGAGAUGCCAAGCACUCCCCAUUCUCCUUUGCCUAAGGGGCAGGCCUGCUGUCACCCCAUCUUACUGUUGGGGAAACGGGCAAGAAACUGCUCAUGGUCACACAGCAUGUAAACAGCCUGGAUGGGAUUUUAACUGAGGUCUGUCUAACUCCAGGCACACCCAGUACGGUGGGGCUAACAGAAUGGCUGAAAACACAGUUAAUUGGUGGGAGGGGGAGGGAGGUGUUCUAGUGGCUUCUGCCUGGGUGCCUGGGACCAACGACGGUGGUGCAUAUGGGCCAGGCAGGUGGAGAGGAGGCGCUUGUAACCAGGUUGUCUAGAACCAAAUGAAAACCUGACACCCACAAUAGCAUGGGGGGUAUUGACGGUCUGUGAUUGGAGCUAUAGGAAUGAGGUGCCUGGAAAAGACUGGGGCCAGAGGUGCCCACCUGGUACAUGGGGAAGAUGUUUGUUUUAUCACCAGCAUAGGAAAGCAAGGUGCAAAGGGAAUUGCAGGAACACACCUUGAGAAUCUGUGCUGUUUGUUAUGCAUCGUUAUGACAACCUGUGACAUGCGGAAACGGGAGCUCAGAGAUAUUCAGGAACUCACCUAAAUCCACACAGCUAGUAACGGAUUCACCUAAGAGGGUUAUAAACCUGCAAACUGGAAUGCAAUUCCAUUUUUAGAAGAUAAUCAAAGAAGCAACCAGAGACAUAUGUAUAAAGAUGUCAAAGCAGGAAAUUCAAGAAAACUUGGAAAUGCCUUAAAUGUCCCAAAAGCAGGAAUUGAGAUGAAUUUUGACUCAGCCAUAUGGUUGAAUUCAAUACUAGGUAGCAUCAGAAGGGACCAUAUGGAUUGACAUGGGUAUGUAAAGAUGGUUCAUGAUGUAUUAAUACAUGAGGAAAAUGCACUAUAAAAUAUCACCUACCAAGUAAUAUUUUGGUAAAAAGUACAUUUAUAAGAAUACAUUCAACUAUUCAACUUUUUUGAGAAGUAGCAGUGCAAAUAAUUGUUAGUAGUUAUAUCAAUACAUCAUAAUUAAUAUUAAUAAAUUAUAAUCAACAAAAUA